rnacentral:rRNA from 2 species
UAGGGAAUCUUCGGCAAUGGACGAAAGUCUGACCGAGCAACGCCGCGUGAGUGAAGAAGGUUUUCGGAUCGUAAAACUCUGUUGUUAGAGAAGAACAAGGACGUUAGUAACUGAACGUCCCCUGACGGUAUCUAACCAGAAAGCCACGGCUAACUACGUGCCAGCAGCCGCGGUAAUACGUAGGUGGCAAGCGUUGUCCGGAUUUAUUGGGCGUAAAGCUAGCGCAGGCGGUUUCUUAAGUCUGAUGUGAAAGCCCCCGGCUCAACCGGGGAGGGUCAUUGGAAACUGGGAGACUUGAGUGCAGAAGAGGAGAGUGGAAUUCCAUGUGUAGCGGUGAAAUGCGUAGAUAUAUGGAGGAACACCAGUGGCGAAGGCGGCUCUCUGGUCUGUAACUGACGCUGAGGCUCGAAAGCGUGGGGAGCAAACAGG